AACGAACGCUGGCGGCAUGCCUAAUACAUGCAAGUCGAACGAGAUCUUCGGAUCUAGUGGCGCACGGGUGCGUAACGCGUGGGAAUCUGCCCUUGGGUUCGGAAUAACAGCGGGAAACUGCUGCUAAUACCGGAUGAUGACGUAAAUCCAAAGAUUUAUCGCCCAGGGAGGAGCCCGCGUAGUAUUAGGUAGUUGGUGGGGUAAAGGCCUCCCAAGCCUACGAUCCUUAGCUGGUCUGAGAGGAUGAUCAGACACACUGGGACCGAGACACGGCCCAGACUCCUACGGGAGGCAGCAGUAGGGAAUAUUGGACAAUGGGGGCAACCCUGAUCCAGCAAUGCCGCGUGAGUGAUGAAGGCCUUAGGGUUGUAAAGCUCUUUUACCCGGGAUGAUAAUGACAGUACCGGGAGAAUAAGCCCCGGCUAACUCGGUGCCAGCCGCCGCAGUAA
rnacentral:rRNA from 1 species